rnacentral:rRNA from 1 species
GUGGGGAAUCUUCCGCAAUGGACGAAAGUCUGACGGAGCAACGCCGCGUGAGUGAAGAAGGUUUUCGGAUCGUAAAGCUCUUUCGUCAGGGACGAACGUAUUUCUUGUAAAUAAUGAGAGAUAGUGACGGUACCUGAAUAAGAAGCCACGGCUAACUACGUGCCAGCAGCCGCGGUAAUACGUAGGUGGCAAGCGUUGUCCGGAAUUAUUGGGCGUAAAGCGCGCGCAGGCGGGAUAUCAAGUCUGUCGUAAAAGUGCGAGGCUCAACCUCGUGAGGGGACAGAAACUGGUAUUCUUGAGUGUCGGAGAGGAAAGUGGAAUUCCAAGUGUAGCGGUGAAAUGCGUAGAGAUUUGGAAGAACACCAGUGGCGAAGGCGACUUUCUGGACUGUAACUGACGCUGAGGCUCGAAAGCCAGGGGAGCGAACGGGAUUAGAUACCCCAGUAGUCC